GUGUGGCUCUGGUUUGCUUAUUUUAAGAAUAUCAGUAAAAUUUAGUAGUGUAUUAAAGGAGAAUUGUUUAUGUCAACCAAAACUUGUCUACUUUCAUUUUUGUUUGGUGCGGGAGAAGCAGUGGGUGUGUGGGGAGGGCUUUGGUUGGUUACUUAUUUUUGUGGACAUGAAAUUUCGUGGUUUUGUCACAAAAAACAUUUUCUUUGGUACUUAAAUUUGUAGACUGUUUUUACCAAAGGUAAAAUGUAAAUUUAUAUUAUAAUGUGAUGCAAAAUAAUCUUACAGCGGACAAAAUAUUUGAUGAAAUUCACAGAGACUUGACAAUAUUAAAUUUCAUCUAGAAAUCAAAAGCAUUCAGAAUGUAUGGAGCACGCCAUUUUGUUAAAUGGACAGUGCCAUUUUGAUAUCAGGAAUUAAAUACUUUAAAUUUCAAGGUUAAAUCAUCCCAAAUGACUGGAAGAACUAUCCCUAAUAACUGGAAGAAAGCCAAUGUUUCCUCAGUCUACAAGAAUGGCAGCAGAUAUAAACCAGAAAACUAUCGCCCUAUCUCCCUUACCUGCAUCUGCUGCAAGCUCCUAGAGCACAUUGUCACCAGCCACAUCAUGAACCAUGCCGAAAAACAGGAGAUUCUUUAUCCUCUCCAACAUGGCUUCAGAAAGGGCAGAUCCUGUGAAACAUAGCUUCUUGAAUUCAUAGAUGACAUAACCCGGAACAUGGAAAAUGGCAAACAGACUGAUGUUCUCAUCAUGGACUUCGCCAAGGCCUUCGACAAGGUAUGCUACAGCCUCUUAUCCCGCAAACUGGAGCACUAUGGCAUCAGAGGCAAGACCAACCUGUGGAUUCAGGCUUUCCUAAGCAACAGAUCCCCAUCUGUAGUCUUGAAAGGGGUAAACUCAGAUACAGCAUCUGUAGAAUUCGGCAUCCCACAGGGCUUAGUCCUUGGCCCAAGUCUGUUCCUUUUCUACAUUAAUGACAUCCAAGAGGGUCUCAAUGCAGUCGUCUGACUAUUUGCAGAUGAUAUGCUGGCCUAUUUUGCCAUCACCAACAAGUCUGACUGUUCCACCCUACAAGCUGACCUCGACAAACUAGCUGUCUGGGAAGAGAAAUGGAAAAUGUAUUUCCACCCAGACAAAUGCCAAGUCCUCACCAUCUCCAAGAAAAGAAGCCCCAUCUGCCACAACAACACUCUUCAUGGUCAUACUCUAGAGCAUGUCACAUCAGCUAAAUACCUUGGAUGCACCCUGAAUAACAACCUAGACUUGGGCCAACAUAU